rnacentral:rRNA from 1 species
AUUGAACGCUGGCGGCAUGCCUUACACAUGCAAGUCGAACGGCAGCACGGGAGCAAUUCUGGUGGCGAGUGGCGAACGGGUGAGUAAUAUAUCGGAACGUGCCCAGUCGUGGGGGAUAACGCAGCGAAAGCUGUGCUAAUACCGCAUACGAUCUAUGGAUGAAAGCGGGGGAUCGCAAGACCUCGCGCGAUUGGAGCGGCCGAUAUCAGAUUAGCUAGUUGGUGAGGUAAAGGCUCACCAAGGCGACGAUCUGUAGCUGGUCUGAGAGGACGACCAGCCACACUGGAACUGAGACACGGUCCAGACUCCUACGGGAGGCAGCAGUGGGGAAUUUUGGACAAUGGGCGAAAGCCUGAUCCAGCAAUGCCGCGUGCAGGAUGAAGGCCUUCGGGUUGUAAACUGCUUUUGUACGGAACGAAACGGUGAGCUCUAAUACAGUUUGCUAAUGACGGUACCGUAAGAAUAAGCACCGGCUAACUACGUGCCAGCAGCCGCAGUAA